rnacentral:lncRNA from 1 species
UGACUGGAAUUCAGACGACGUGAAAAUAGACCCAGCACAACCCGGGCUGUGUCAAAAGCAGAGUUAAACAGAGUUACGUUGGGGUCACCUAAUUGUACAUAUUUGUCGUAACGUUGUCAGAUUUGAAGAUUUUUAGUCAAAAUGUUGCGAUUUUUGGUUACUCUAGGGGUUGGUGUCUACGCGGGUAUAUACAUAAGUCAGAAUUAUCAGGUGCCCCGAGUUGAUGAGCCUGCACAAAUACUUCAGAAAUUGAAAGCAUUUGCAGACGAGUAUAAGAAAGAUAAAUGACGAAUUAUGCGACAAUGAGAUACAUUUCUGCAAUACUUGCAGUGAUAAUUCAACUGCAUUAUUUUAAUCAAUGAUGAUUUCGAUCUAUUAGUCUAAUUGGAGGUUUUUAUAUAUUAAGUUUAAAUCUGAACGAGCCAACAAAGAGGCUUGGUUAAAUAGUGUAAUGAUUUAUUUGCCGCAAGUUUUUGCCCUGUAAUAACAGUUAAAUAUAAUUAUACAAUUACACGUA